rnacentral:rRNA from 1 species
GACGAACACUAGCGGGAGGCCUAAUACAUGCAAGUCGAACGGUAACAGGUAGCAAUACGCUGACGAGUGGCGCACGGGUGAGUAACACGUACACAACCUGCCUAUGACUGGGGCAUAACUUCGGGAAACUGAAGCUAAUUCCCCAUAACACUGCAGAAAGGCAUCUUUCAGCAGUUAAAGCCCCGGCGGUCAUAGAUGGGUGUGCGUUUGAUUAGCUAGUUGGUAAGGUAACGGCUUACCAAGGCUACGAUCAAUAACUGGUCUGAGAGGAUGAUCAGUCACACGGGCACUGAGACACGGGCCCGACUCCUACGGGAGGCAGCAGUAGGGAAUAUUGGACAAUGGAGGCAACUCUGAUCCAGCCAUCCCGCGUGAAGGAUUAAGGCCCUAUGGGUUGUAAACUUCUUUUCUCUGGGAAUAAAAACCGGGAUUUAUCCUGGCUUGAAGGUACCAGAGGAAUAAGCACCGGCUAACUCCGUGCCAGCCGCCGCAGUAAAAC